GCGAUCCCAGGUCAGGCGGGGCUACCCGCUGAGUUUAAGCAUAUCAAUAAGCGGA
rnacentral:rRNA from 1 species